rnacentral:rRNA from 1 species
GACGAACGCUGGCGGCGUGCUUAACACAUGCAAGUCGAACGGAAAGGCCCUGCUUUUGUGGGGUGCUCGAGUGGCGAACGGGUGAGUAACACGUGAGUAACCUGCCCUUGACUUUGGGAUAACUUCAGGAAACUGGGGCUAAUACCGGAUAGGAGCUCCUGCUGCAUGGUGGGGGUUGGAAAGUUUCGGCGGUUGGGGAUGGACUCGCGGUUAUCAGCUUGUUGGUGGGGUAGUGGCUUACCAAGGCUUUGACGGGUAGCCGGCCUGAGAGGGUGACCGGCCACAUUGGGACUGAGAUACGGCCCAGACUCCUACGGGAGGCAGCAGUGGGGAAUAUUGCACAAUGGGCGGAAGCCUGAUGCAGCAACGCCGCGUGCGGGAUGACGGCCUUCGGGUUGUAAACCGCUUUCGCCUGUGACGAAGCGUGAGUGACGGUAAUGGGUAAAGAAGCACCGGCUAACUACGUG